GACGAACCAUGCGAACGUUAUUCGGAAUCACUGGGCUUAAAGCGCGUGUAGGCGGAUGGGAACGUCGGUCGUUGAAAUCCCCCGGCUCAACCGGGGAACUGGCACCGAAACGACCCGUCUGGAGGGACGUAGGGGGACCUGGAACUUCCGGUGGAGCGGUGAAAUGCGUUGAGAUCGGAAGGAACGCCCGUGGCGAAAGCGAGGUCCUGGACGUCUACUGACGCUGAGACGCGAAAGCUAGGGUAGCGAACGGG
rnacentral:rRNA from 1 species